rnacentral:rRNA from 1 species
GAUGAACGCUAGCUACAGGCUUAACACAUGCAAGUCGAGGGGAAACGACAUCGAAAGCUUGCUUUUGAUGGGCGUCGACCGGCGCACGGGUGAGUAACGCGUAUCCAACCUGCCCACCACUUGGGGAUAACCUUGCGAAAGUAAGACUAAUACCCAAUGACGUCUCUAGAAGACAUCUGAAAGGGAUUAAAGAUUUAUCGGUGAUGGAUGGGGAUGCGUCUGAUUAGCUUGUUGGCGGGGUAACGGCCCACCAAGGCGACGAUCAGUAGGGGUUCUGAGAGGAAGGUCCCCCACAUUGGAACUGAGACACGGUCCAAACUCCUACGGGAGGCAGCAGUGAGGAAUAUUGGUCAAUGGGCGAAGCCUGAACCAGCCAAGUAGCGUGCAGGACGACGGCCCUAUGGGUUGUAAACUGCUUUUAUGCGGGGAUAAAGUGGGCCACGCGUGGCCUUUUGCAGGUACCGCAUGAAUAAGGACCGGCUAAAUUCCGUG